UGCCAGCCGCCGCGGUAAUACGGAGGGGGCUAGCGUUGUUCGGAAUUACUGGGCGUAAAGCGCGCGUAGGCGGCUUGCCAAGUCUGAUGUGAAAUCCCAGGGCUCAACCCUGGAACUGCAUUGGAAACUGGCAAGCUCGAGUUUGGUAGGGGAUAGUGGAAUUCCUAGUGUAGAGGUGAAAUUCGUAGAUAUUAGGAGGAACACCAGUGGCGAAGGCGACUGUCUGGGCCAAUACUGACGCUGAGGUGCGAAAGCGUGGGGAGCAAACAGGAUUAGAUA
rnacentral:rRNA from 1 species